rnacentral:rRNA from 1 species
GACGAACGCUGGCGGCGUGCUUAACACAUGCAAGUCGAACGAAGUGGCGAACGGGUGAGUAACGCGUGAUCAACCUGCCCUUCUGAGGGGGACAACAGUUGUAAACGACUGCUAAUACCGCAUACUGAAGCAGGGGGUUGUGGUUGAGUAGCUAGUUGGAGGGGUAACGGCCCACCAAGGCGAGGAUCAGUAGGCGGGCUGAUAGGAUGAGCGGCCACAUUGCGACUGAGACACGGUCCAGACUCCUACGGUACGCAGCAGUGGGGAAUAUUGCACAAUGGGCGCAAGCCUGAUGUAACCCUGCCGCGUGGAUGAAGAAGUCCUUGGUGUUGGAAAGUUCUUUCAGCGGGAAACGUUACUCGCAGAAUAAGCACCGGCUAACUCCGUGCCAGCAGCCGCGGUAAUAC